AAAAUACCUAAAAUUAUUACCUGGGAAUAUUGGUUAAUUCAUUCUAUUGUGUAUGCACCCAUGUGUGAUGAAGGGAGAAGGGAGAUGAAAUAAUACCAGCAUCCUGAACCUGAAUGUCCAGCUUCGCCUUGUUCUUUGUGGAUUAUAAGACCAUUGAUUAAAUAAAUCCUUUCAUCAAAAUUAUCUUAAAAAAGAAACUACCAUCUAAAUCCAGUUAUUCCAUCUGACUUGGUAGCAGUGAUGUUUGGAGUUUAGGACCUAAAGGUGAAAUGGUAGGGGAAAAUCUGGGUGCUCGGAAAGACACCAGAAGCACACAGAAGAAGAUCAUAUGAAGACACAACAAGAAGGUGACUAGCUGCAAGCCAAGAAGAGAAGCCUCAGAAGAAAUCAAACGUACUAGCACCUUGAUCUUGGAAUUCCAGUCUCCAAAGCUGCGAGAAAAUAAAAUUCUGUUGCUUAAGCUGCCAAGACUAUGGUAUUUUCUUAUGGCAAUCUUAGCAAAAUAACCCUAUUAGCAAACAAAUGCAUACAAAAUCUCUGUAAAUACAGCAGGUUUCCUUUUUAAAAAAACUCUUUAUUUUGAAAAAUUAUAGUUCUACAACAAAUAAUAAAAAAGAUAUACAGGAUGGUCCUAUUUACUCUUGACUCAGUUUCCCUUAUAGUAACAUCUUAUAUAACUACUAGGAAAAUGAUGUUGAUACAUUCCACAUAUCUUGUUAAAAUUUAACCAGUUUUACAUGUAUUAGUUUGUUCUAUGCAAUUUUCUUGCAUGUGUAGACCCAUGUUACCACUACCAUAGAGAAAAUCCAGAAUCAUUCCAUCACCAGAGGCUCCUUCAUGCUGUCUCUUUAUACUCAUUCUUACCUCUUUCUCUAGCUCAUCCCUAACCCCUCACAACCAUUAAUCUGUUCUCCAUCUCUACAACCCUGUUAUUUCAAGAAUGCCAUAUAAUGAGAAUCAAAAUUAAGUGAACUUUUGGGACUAUUUUCACUCAGAAUAAUUCUCUUGAAAUUCAGCCAAGUUAUUGUGUGCAACAAUAACUCAUUCCUUCUUAUUGCGGAGUAGUAGUCCAUGAUAUGGAUGCACUACAGGUUCCUUAACCACUUACUAGGAUAUUACAGUUGUUUACAGUUUGAAGCUAUUAUGACUAAAGCUGACGCUCACAUUUAUAUAUAAGUUUUUAUACAGAAAUAUGUCUCCAUUUCUCUGGAAAAAAAAUCCCAAGGGUACAAUUGCCGAGUCAAAUGUUAAGUGAAUGUUUACUUUAAAAGUGUUAUAUUGUUUUUUAGAGUGGGUGUACCAUUUUACAUUACCAUCAGCAAUGUAUAAGAGGUCCUGUUUCUCAGUAUCAGGCAAUAGAUAAUGUAUGUGCCAUGUAUACGUUUCCAGAACAUGAAAGUAUAGGAAUCUUCUUUUAUUUUAUUAUGUUAGCAUACCCUUCACACUCAAACCUAGCUGUGUGCUGAAAAGGUGAUUCUCUGGAAUUUAAGGAACUUAAAACCCCUGAUUUAUAGCAACUGCAUAUUUUCCAGUUGUGGCUAUUUCCCACCGUGGUUUUCAAACUACCCACAUGACUUAAUUGAAAGUGAAUUAAGGAAAAAAAUACUCACAAGUAGUUCUCACACAGUUCUCACUGGCACAAGCCAGUUCCAGCACACUGCUGCACAUACACAAACAUAUGCACACAUGCAUACACACAUAUAUACACACAUGCAUAUUCACAGACACAUAAAAACACAGAUGCAUAGAGACACCAGAUUUAUCUCCUUCAUUCGUACAGAUGGACCAUUAAAUAAGAUGACAAGAUGAAUUUAAUAGCAUGACAUAAUCAAAUAUAGAGACAGAUAUAAAAUACAUAGAGUAUGAAACUAUGAAACAAUUUUGGAAAUAAAAGUGUAUAUUAAUGUGCAAAUAUAUGUAUAGAAUAUGAGACUGAAAACACCAAAAUGUUGAUACUGUUUAUUUCUGGGUAGUUGGAUGACAAGUGAAUUUAGUUUUUCUGAUUGUGCUUUUCUUUAUCUUUAAGGAACAUGUUUUCUUUUAAUCAGAAAGAAAUAAUUACAUAUAUAUGUAAUUAACAUAUAUUGUAUAAUAUAUAUCACAUAUAUUCCACAUAUAUGGAAUAUAUAUUGUGUUUUAAAGUUUAAAAUGUGAGGAGACCACGUCAAUGAGGAACUUGGAACCAAGUAAAACAUGGAUGGAUAUGUGACAAUAUUGUGGAAUAGAGUGAAAAUUCAGCUCAGAAAUAGUGAAGCUUAUUUUAAAUGGAAACUAAAAUAAGAUCAUGUGGAUUAAAUUAGAGAUAUUUCCAGGAGAAGAUAUGUUUGAGCAUAACUUUCCUCUCCUCCCUAUCUGAGGAAAAUUCUGGAAGAGACUUCAUACGUAUCUAUAUUUGUAUCUAUGUCAGAAAAGGAGAGAAGUAAGGCCUGGGAGGCAGCUUGCUGUUGUGAAAGGAAAAUGAAGUCAGAUGAUCCUUAAUUUGGAUACUCUUUCUUACCAUUUGGGGCAAGUUACUUCCUCAAAGCCUCAAUUUCUUCUUCUCUAGCAUGAGAUUAAUAUUUGUGAUUCAUCAGAAGGUUAAACAAAGCAAUUUUUACAAAGUAAAAAGCAAAUUUUACAAAGAAGGCUUUCAUUUUGUUCUGUCCUAUUUUAUUCUAAAUUAUGGUAUGUUACCCAAAUCCCAGUGGGAGCUUUUGUGAGUGAAUGACAUUAAAAAAUUACUGGAACAGGAAAUAUUUCCCUUUAAUGAACUAGAUGAGAUUUUUUAAAAAAAAACCACUAAUUAUGUAUUUUACAUUAUGGAAACAGAGAUUAUAUAAUGAUAAAAAGAUGUGUAUUAUAUUUUAAAAAAUAGUUACAAAAAGUAAAUCUUUUGUUUUCAUGUGAUCCAUUCAUUUGUCCAUUAUUCAACAGAUAUUUAUACAAUACUAAUUCAGUGAAAACCAGCAUUAGCUUAGGAGAAAGUAUUAGGAAGUACAAGAUUAAUGACAUCUGGGACCAAGAAAUUUUCAGUAAAAUCAAUGAAUGGCAUUUUGCUUAUUUCGGAACAGCAAAAUAGAAAUAGUCAAUACUAUAGUCUCUGCAUCUAGUCCUUCUGUGUGAAUAUGUAUCUAGAGGCUUAUGCAAAAUAAUGCCUAAGGUUAGGACAAGCACUUUUAUUCAGCUGAUAAUAAAAUAUAUAAAGUGUACAAUGAAUAUCCAAAUGUAUAAUAAUCUAAUCCAGAAUUACUCAAUCUAUGAAUUAUUAAGAUAUGGUAAGGACAAGAUUAAAACUAUGUUUUUCUGCCUGGCUGUCUUUAAACUAUUGUUACAUGGCAACCCUUUAACAACCCAGUAGUUAGCCAUGAUCAUUGUAUUAGGCUGCUUGGGUUGCUGUAACAAAAUGUUAAUACCAUAGACUGGGUGGCUUAAAUAACAGACCUUUAUUUCUCACAGUUCUGGAGGUUGGGAAGUCCAAGAUCAAGGUGCUGGCCAAUUCUGUUCCUGCCUCUCUUUUCUGGCUUAUAUAUUUCUGCCUUUUUGCCGUGUCCUUGCAAGGCAGAGAAAUAUCUUCUCCUACUCCAAUUCUUCCUUCUACUCCUUCUUUUUCUUCAUAAGCCACUAAUCCUAUCAUGACAGCCCUAUUCUCAUUACCUCAUUCAACCUUAAUUAUCUCCCAAAGGGCCCACAUCCAAAUACCGUCAUAUUGAGGGUUAAGGCUUCAACAUCUGAGUUUUGGGGGAGACACAAUUUGGUCCAGAGCAACCAUCAUUUUGCUAAUGCCAUCUGGCUUGUGAAAUAUUAAUAGCAAGUCUAAGACUUUUCUCAAUAUUCAAAGAGGAAGGCUCAAAGAGAUUUUGAUAGUUUUUGGUUGUUUGUGAAUAUAUACAAGCUGAAUAGAAGUUUCAGUGUAAGGAUGGUAUCACACCCUUUCUCACCACCUACUCCCAAAUUUUGAAAGCCAUUACUUGAGAAAUAGACAUCCUCUUGGUGUUGUCAAUGUUCCUGAAUACACAAUAAUUGUUAAUACAUUUUGCAAAGAGAAUAUGCACCGUUGAAAGGGAAUAUUACUUAUUCAUUCAUUCAAAAAAUUAUUGAGCGCUGCUAUUUUCCAAGCACUUUUCUGAAUGCUAAGAAUAUAGGAAUAAUCAAAAGAGAAAAAGUCUCUUCUCUCAAAGAGCAUAUUGCCUUGUGUUGGAGGCAAACCAUAAUUAAACAGACAAGUGAAUAUCUAGUUUGUCAGAUAAUGAUUAGUCCUAUGGAGAAGUAUAAAGCAGGAUACAGGAAAUGGGGAGGGCUGGUAGGUGGGGAGAAGAGUGGUUAUUUUAUGUAGGUAAACAGGGAACCUGAAGUAAAUAAGGGAGUGAGCCAUGCUGAUGUCAGGAGAAAAGUUUCAGAAGGUGAGGAGAACAAAUGCAGAGGCCACAAGGUGAGAGAAUGCUUAGGUGUAUGAAAGACAGCAAGGAGCCCAGUGUAUAUAGACCAACUGAACCAGAGGAAGAAUCAUAGGAGGUGAGAACGGUAAUGUAGGGGAAGAUUACGCUAAACCCUGUAUGUUAUUGUAAGAAUUUUAGCUUUUGCUGGGAGUGAGAUAGGCUACUGAAGGUUUAUGAGCAGAGGAAUCUUAUCAGAUUUAGGUUUUAAAAGUGAAAUGUGUUGGUUGUAGAAACAGCUGACUUUAGAUGGAUAAGGCAGAAAAAGUGAGAUUAAUUGCAAGAUCGUUGCAAUAAUCUAGGAGUUAAAUGGAGGUUGAAUGAAUAAGGGAGAAUGGAAGGGUGAGUGAGAAGGAAUCAGGUUUUAGAUACAUUUAGAAGAAAGAGCUAGAGCCAGCUGACAGCAUUUGCUAAUGGAUUGCAUAUGAAAGAAAGAAGUCAAGGAUAAUCCAAGUUAUUUGGUAUGAACAACGGAGAAACGAAGUUGCCAUUUGUAAAAUAAGUAAGGCUGAGGAAGGAGCAGGUUUGGGGAAAAUGGGAAAUUGAAGUCAAUUCCAGAUCAGUUAUGUUUGAGAAGCCAAUUAGAUACACACAAGGAAAUUCUGAGGAAGGAGUUAGUAUUAUUAAUUUCACUUUAGGAGAGAGAUAUGGGAUUGAGUUUGACGGUGAGUAGUUGUCACUUACAGAUGAUACAUCAAAUCACGUGACAGGAUGAGAUCCUAGAAAGUGAAUGCAAUUACAAAAGGAAUGAGGUCCGAGAAAACCUACUUGGGGCAUUCUAAAGUCAGUGGUCUGAGCGGUCAGAAGGAAUUUACAAAGGAACUGAGAAGAAGAGCCAAUGAGAAAGGGAACUUCUUUUUUUUCACAGUGAGUGCUUGUGAACUUUAAAGGAAUGUGUGAUGAGGAGACUUUUUUUUUAAAUAACUGGAAUUAUAUCUUUCUUUUCUAAUGGUCUAGUAGGAAAAACUGUUUCCUUUAGGGGAGAGGGCAAUUGCUGGAGUAAUAUCCUUAAGUAAUAUCACAAUUUAUUUAUAGUAACAGGAGAGAAUGUCAGGUAUUCAGGUGCAUAGGCAGAUAGAUUGGUACAUGUGGUUGUGGGAGCAUGAGGAACUUCUCUCUUCUUUCUUUUUAAUUCUCACUGACGCAGGAAGUAGACUCCUUGCUGGCAUGACUAUGAAGGCAGAAGAUUAAAGGUUUUUUUCUUUUUUUAAUUUAAAAUUUUUAAUUUUUGUGAGUACAUGGAAGAUUAAAAUUUGAAGAAGACAGCUUAGAAAUCUGGGAAAAUAGACCAUCCUGGCUAACACAGUGAAACCCCUUCUGUACUAAAAAUGCAAACAAUUAGCUGGGUGUGGUGGCGGGCGCCUGUAGUCG
rnacentral:lncRNA from 1 species